rnacentral:rRNA from 1 species
CAGUAGCCACGGGAAUACGUAGGUGGCAAGCGUUGUCCGGAAUUAUUGGGCGUAAAGGGCUCGCAGGCGGUUUCUUAAGUCUGAUGUGAAAGCCCCCGGCUCAACCGGGGAGGGUCAUUGGAAACUGGGAAACUUGAGUGCAGAAGAGGAGAGUGGAAUUCCACGUGUAGCGGUGAAAUGCGUAGAGAUGUGGAGGAACACCAGUGGCGAAGGCGACUCUCUGGUCUGUAACUGACGCUGAGGAGCGAAAGCGUGGGGAGCGAACAGGAUUAGAUACCCGCGUAGUACUGUCUCUUAUACC